rnacentral:rRNA from 1 species
UUCCAGCUCCAAUAGCGUAUAUUAAAGUUGUUGCAGUUAAAAAGCUCGUAGUUGGAUUUCUGGCAGGAGUGACUGACCACAAACUCUGUUUGUGAGUUGUGUCAUUCUGGCCAUCCUUGGUAAGAUCCUUUUUGGCAUUAAGUUGUCGGGAAGGGGAUGACCAUCGUUUACUGUGAAAAAAUUAGAGUGUUUAAAGCAGGCUUAUGCCGUUGAAUAUAUUAGCACGGAAUAAUAAGAUAGGACUUUGAGUCUAUUUUGUUGGUUUGCGAGUCAAAGUAAUGAUUAGUAGGGACAGUUGGGGGCAUUCGUAUUUCAUUGUCAGAGGUGAAAUUCUUGGAUUUCUGAAAGACGAACUACUGCGAAAGCAUUUACCAAGGAUGUUUUCAUCG